rnacentral:rRNA from 1 species
AGAGUUUGAUCCUGGCUCAGGACGAACGCUGGCGGCGUGCUUAACACAUGCAAGUGGAGCGACGAACCGGGCUUCGGCCCGGGGCAGAGCCGCGAACGGGUGAGUAACACGUGGGUUAUCUGCCCAGUUGACAGGGACAACCCGGGGAAACCCGGGCUAAUACCUGAUGUGCCCCUCGGGGGAAAGGAAGCUUCGGCCUCCGCAACUGGAUGAGCCCGCGGCCCAUUAGCUUGUUGGUGGGGUAACGGCCUACCAAGGCUUCGAUCGGUAGCCGGUCUGAGAGGAUGAUCGGCCACACUGGGACUGAGACACGGCCCAGACUCCUACGGGAGGCAGCAGUGGGGAAUCUUGGACAAUGGGCGCAAGCCUGAUCCAGCGACGCCGCGUGGGUGACGAAGGCCUUCGGGUUGUAAAGCCCUUUUCCCGGGGACGAUGAUGACGGUACCCGGGGAAUAAGCACCGGCUAACUCCGUGCCAGCAGCCGCGGUAAGACGGAGGGUGCUAGCGUUGUUCGGAAUGACUGGGCGUAAAGGGCGCGUAGGCGGCCAUUCACGUCGGAUGUGAAAGCCCGGGGCUCAACCCCGGAACGGCAUCCGAUACGGGCUGGCUCGAGACCGAGAGAGGUGAGUGGAAUUCCCGGUGUAGCGGUGAAAUGCGCAGAUAUCGGGAGGAACACCAGUAGCGAAGGCGGCUCGCUGGGCCACACCUGACGCUGAGACGCGAAAGCUAGGGGAGCGAACAGGAUUAGAUACCCUCGUAGUCC